GCGCCGGUGGUGUAAGGCGAACAUCGCUGCCCGGAAAGCAGAAGACGCGGGUUCGAGUCCCGCAUGGCGCA
rfam:Heligmosomoides polygyrus genome assembly, scaffold: HPBE_scaffold0005082